GACGAACGCUGGCGGCGUGCUUAACACAUGCAAGUCGUACGGUAAGGCCCUUUCGGGGGUACACGAGUGGCGAACGGGUGAGUAACACGUGAGUAACCUGCCCACAACUUUGGGAUAACGCUAGGAAACUGGUGCUAAUACUGGAUAUGUGCUCCUGCUGCAUGGCGGGGGUUGGAAAGCUCCGGCGGUUGUGGAUGGACUCGCGGCCUAUCAGCUUGUUGGUGGGGUAGUGGCCUACCAAGGCGGCGACGGGUAGCCGGCCUGAGAGGGUGACCGGCCACAUUGGGACUGAGAUACGGCCCAGACUCCUACGGGAGGCAGCAGUGGGGAAUAUUGCACAAUGGGCGCAAGCCUGAUGCAGCAACGCCGCGUGCGGGAUGACGGCCUUCGGGUUGUAAACCGCUUUCAGCAGGGACGAAGCUUUUUGUGACGGUACCUGCAGAAGAAGCACCGGCUAACUACGU
rnacentral:rRNA from 1 species